rnacentral:lncRNA from 1 species
AUAUAUAUAUAUAUAUAUACGACAGGUUUGAUUGAUUGAUUGAUUGAUUGAUUGAUUGGCAAGAAUUUUACCUUGCACAUACAAGAGUUGUUAAUUUGCAACUGUUCUUUAACAUGUAGUGGGAGGGGAUCUUUUUUACUUGACCCCCUAUAAAGUUUGCCCCUAUUACUCACACACACACUUUUCAGUUUUCUCUUAUGCCUCUAAAUAGAGAAUAAUUGGAAAAUAUAGUGAAUGGAGAAAAAUGACCCUAAAAAAAUAAAGAAAUGAAGAUACACCAUCCAGAC